rnacentral:rRNA from 1 species
AACCUCGCCCCAUAGUCUGGGAUACCACUUGAAACAGGUGCUAAUACCGGAUAAGAAAGCGGAUCGCAUGAUCAGCUUUUAAAAGGCGGCGUAAGCUGUCGCUAUGGGAUGGCCCCGCGGUGCAUUAGCUAGUUGGUAAGGUAAAGGCUUACCAAGGCGAUGAUGCAUAGCCGAGUUGAGAGACUGAUCGGCCACAUUGGGACUGAGACACGGCCCAAACUCCUACGGGAGGCAGCAGCC